UAACGGCGUCGAGCGGCGGACGGGUGAGUAAUGCCUAGGAAAUUGCCCUGAUGUGGGGGAUAACCAUUGGAAACGAUGGCUAAUACCGCAUGAUGCCUACGGGCCAAAGAGGGGGACCUUCGGGCCUCUCGCGUCAGGAUAUGCCUAGGUGGGAUUAGCUAGUUGGUGAGGUAAGGGCUCACCAAGGCGACGAUCCCUAGCUGGUCUGAGAGGAUGAUCAGCCACACUGGAACUGAGACACGGUCCAGACUCCUACGGGAGGCAGCAGUGGGGAAUAUUGCACAAUGGGCGCAAGCCUGAUGCAGCCAUGCCGCGUGUGUGAAGAAGGCCUUCGGGUUGUAAAGUACUUUCAGUCGUGAGGAAGGCGGCGUCGUUAAUAGCGGCAUCGUUUGACGUUAGCGACAGAAGAAGCACCGGCUAACUCCGUGCCAGCAGCCGCGGUAAUACGGAGGGUGCGAGCGUUAAUCGGAAUUACUGGGCGUAAAGCGCAUGCAGGUGGUUUGUUAAGUCAGAUGUGAAAGCCCGGGGCUCAACCUCGGAAUAGCAUUUGAAACUGGCAGACUAGAGUACUGUAGAGGGGGGUAGAAUUUCAGGUGUAGCGGUGAAAUGCGUAGAGAUCUGAAGGAAUACCGGUGGCGAAGGCGGCCCCCUGGACAGAUACUGACACUCAGAUGCGAAAGCGUGGGGAGCAAACAGGAUUAGAUACCCUGGUAGUCCACGCCGUAAACGAUGUCUACUUGGAGGUUGUGGCCUUGAGCCGUGGCUUUCGGAGCUAACGCGUUAAGUAGACCGCCUGGGGAGUACGGUCGCAAGAUUAAAACUCAAAUGAAUUGACGGGGGCCCGCACAAGCGGUGGAGCAUGUGGUUUAAUUCGAUGCAACGCGAAGAACCUUACCUACUCUUGACAUCCAGAGAACUUUCCAGAGAUGGAUUGGUGCCUUCGGGAACUCUGAGACAGGUGCUGCAUGGCUGUCGUCAGCUCGUGUUGUGAAAUGUUGGGUUAAGUCCCGCAACGAGCGCAACCCUUAUCCUUGUUUGCCAGCGAGUAAUGUCGGGAACUCCAGGGAAACUGCCGGUGAUAAACCGGGAGGAAGGUGGGGGACAACGUCAAGUCAUCAUGGGCCCUUACAAGUAGGGGUUACCAC
rnacentral:rRNA from 1 species